rnacentral:SRP_RNA from 1 species
CCGCGCUAGAUGGGGAGUUGGGGGUGCCCUGUAACCUGCAGAAUCCUCCAUAGCAGGGUCGACGUUCUGCUGAGGCAUCGUCGGGUCGGGACUGCCCGAGAAAAGUGGUAUUGAAGGCCGGGCUCACCGCAACGGAAACUUGUGAACCGGGUCAGGACCUGACCGUAGCAGCCCUAAGCAAGCACUUUUGUGUGCCGGGGAACUACCUGGCUGGAGCUAACUAUCACGGUAACGACGGUUCGGCAAUGUCGAGGACAGGAUGCGCGG